ACGGCUCAGUAACACGUCGCUAAUCUGCCCUAAGGUCAGGGAUAACUACGGGAAACUGUGGCUAAUACCUGAUAAGGAACAAAUACUGGAAUGUAUUGUUCUCCAAACUCGAGCCUUAGGAUGAGGUGGCGGCCGAUUAGGUUGUUGGCGGUGUAAUGGACCACCAAGCCGAAGAUCGGUACGGGCCAUGAGAGUGGUAGCCCGGAGAGGGACACUGAGAUACUGGUCCCAGCCCUACGGGGUGCAGCAGGCGCGAAACCUUUACAAUGCACGCAAGUGUGAUAAGGGGAUCCCAAGUGCUCAAGUAAUGCUUGGGCUUUUGUUAUGUGUAAAUAGCAUAGCGAAUAAGUGGUGGGAAAGACUGGUGCCAGCCGCCGCGGUAACACCAGCGCCACAAGUGGCAAUCGCGAUUAUUGGGCCUAAAGCGUCCGUAGCAGGUUUUGUAAAUCUCUUGUGAAAGUGACAGGCCUAACCUGUCAGAGUGCAGGGGAAACUGCAAAACUUGGGACCGGGAGGGGUAUGAGGUAUUCCUGAGGGAGCGGUAAAAUGCUAUAAUCUCAGGAGGACCACCUGUGGCGAAGGCGUCAUA
rnacentral:rRNA from 1 species